AGUAACACUGACUUAGUUAAAGAAUUUUCCCUCAUAUUUUUCAUUAUGUAAAUAUUUUUAUUUUCAAAAAACCUGGCUUUUGGGGCUGGGGAUUUAGCUCAGCGGCAUAAGCGCCUGCUUUGCAAGCAAGCAGUCGUGAGUUCGAUACCCGGUACCGAUAAAAAGGAAAGACAAAAAAAAAACCCCACCUGGCUUUCAUAUUAAAAUAUUAUCAAUUGCAAGGACGAUCUCUUGAAUUUGGAAUAGAAUUUGGACUUCAGAAUUUAUGGAGUCUACCAAUAGAUAAGGAAUAUUGUCACAGUACAGUGUAGCAAGAAAAAGUAUGUACAUAAGUGUUUGGAUGGGAGGGAAAGAGGAUAGAGAGGAAAUAAAAGAAUUAUAUUCUUAGUAACUUUUUUUUUUUUUUUUUUUUGGCUUUUUGAAACAGGAUCUUACUAUAUAGUUCAAGUUGGUCUUGAACUCUCAAGUCUCGGACCUGCCUCAGUCUCUGGAGUGCUGGUAUUACAGGUCCAGGUCACCAUGCCCAGUUUAACAUUUCUUAAUGUUCUUCAAAUAAACAGAAUUGUUUUGAAAAUAAGAAGGAACAAUUGUAGGGAUGACAGCACUGUAAGCAAUCUGUGUAGUGUCUUUUUUAAUUUAAAAGAUGUAGAGUGAAACAAAAUCUGUCCCUUGUUACAGAACUACUUUAUCAUUUGGGUAAAAUUAUAGAAAACCACAUGAAAACAAAUUUAGAUAAAUUGGGUGAGAAUGUACAGAAGGAAAGCUUUUGUAAAGAAAAAGAGAUAGGCCUUCACAGAUAAAAUGUAGAGUAUAAAUAUAUGUGAAAGAAUCUUCACAGGAGAUCUUAAUCCAGGUUAAUCAUUCUUUGCCAAAUUUAAACCCAAGACAUUCAAUACGUUCUAAGGAUACAGUUAAACUUCUGUAUCUUUUCGAGUUCAGAAGCAACAGACCUGUGCAAGAAAUAAAAGUAAGUUUAUGCUAGUUGUUUCAUUCUUUUAUAUUCACAAACUGUGUUUGUUUAUGUUUUUGGAGACAGGAUCUUGCUAAAUCAAACUUUUCAUUCUUUUGCUUGGGUCUUCCAGUGUGCUAGACCAUAUAUAUUAUAUAUAUGUGUGUUGCCACCAUAUCAACCUUCAAAUUUCAAAUAAGCAUACUUGACUUUUUUUGUUUAAAUAAAGGUUAGGAUUUUAAAUGGAUGAACAUAAAAGUUAAGAAUUCUCUUUAUAUUAGAUUUAAUUAGCAACAAAUCAACUUGAUUCAACUGAUAUUUACUGAGUGCUUUUAAAAGUAAAAGAAUAAAAGUCCCCACCACAAGGACUUUGCAUUUAAGUACUGAUAUUCAAAGGUAAUGGACUUGCUUUAGGUACUUACCUGGCACACCAGAUACUUUCCGCCCUAAGGUUUACUACAACUUUAAAACCUACUAAAAUCCCAUCCCUUUUGUGCUUUUACAGAAACUAUCUCUCCUUUCUUGAAUUUUUGUAGCAGUGUUAUUCAAUUAUAUGCUUAUUUGUAAUAUUUUCUCUUGAGCUAUAACUUUCUGAUGCUCAUAUACUGAUUGUGCCAUCAACUAUAAUGUAUCUUGACUAUUGCUAUGAAAAAUUAAUGAGGACAUCUGUCUAAAAACACCUCUUUAUUCAUGUCACUAGAAAAGUCUUUUCACAAAGGAAUGCCGCUUGUAUGUUUUAUUGGCUUUACUACAAUGGACCACAUGCACCUCUUGUCAAUUUGCAGCGUUUCUCCCUUGUGUUCCAGCCUAUGGAUGGUCUUACGACUUGUGUUUGGAGGUCCUCCCAAAGCCCCAUACAGUCAUAGGGUACAGCUGAAGGAUGAGAUGCUGGAAAGCUGGAUCCUUAGAUACUUGAGAUACUCAACACAUACUGAUUGGAUUUGCUCUAAGAAUAACUUCAAAAAUGUGACUGGGCCAUCUCACUUCUGAGGUAUCAAUGAGGAGAUGCUGAAUUGCAGAAGGAAAAAGACAUGGUUCGUGCCUUGCUGUUUGCAGCCAGCCAUGAAUGGCGGCCGGCCAUGCCACCCUGCCUGCCGCUUGGAGCCAACUGAGUAUGGACUGAAAGCUCCACGAACUGUAAGAAAUAAACCCUUCCUUCCCUAACUUUGGGUAUCAGGUAUUUUGUUUCAGCAACAAGUAAAAAGUAAUUAGGGCAAGUUAUAUGUUACUACUGAAGAGAUUACUUAAUUUUCUAGUGACUUAGAUUCAUCAUUCCUGAAUUUAAUUUCCUACCUUUAAAAUGACUCUGACUUCACUUAUGCAAUUCUUACAAGUAUAGGAAAAGAAGAGAGCUGAGUUUCACUGGAACUCUACCACUUACUAGUUAUGACCCUCGGUUGUUUCUACAAUGAACAGUGGUAGUAGCAGGUCUGUUGUGAGAAAAUACAAAUGCCCAGCACUGAGAAAGUCACCUCAUAAGGACUCAGUAAAGAUUAUGAAAUGUUUUCAUUCCUUCCUAACACUAAUCCCACCUCUUCUGUAUUAUCCCCUUUUACUAUUCAGGUGAUCAAAUUUCACCUGUUUAAACAAAAUAACUUUCCAUAGAUAACACUUCCCCGGGUUACUCCAUUUCUUACCAAUAAACCUCUAAAGAGUAACAAAACUUUCACUGCCUACCUUUUCUAUCAAUUUUCAAUCCACUGCAAUCCAGUUUUUUGUAUACUUCUCUAUUAUUCUUUUACAAUGGUCACCAAUGUCUUCUGAAUCCUACUAGACCCGGUCUAUCUGUGAUCACAUUAUCUACAGUUCCCUGCACCAAACUCUUCCCUUGCUGUCCCCACUCAACACCAAUUUCUCAUUUUGGGUUUCUUCCCUCUGCCUAUAUCUGUUUUCUAUCAUUCACUUAAUUACCAUAAGUUAAGGUUCAAGACCUGAUCUUAGUCUCCAUUUCAUCUCUUCUUGAUAUAAACACUCAUGUCACUGUUAGGCCUCACCUUGUUUUUUUUUUCAUCUUGCCCUCUUUCAAUGCAUGCAAUCAGUUGCAUGUGACACAGCCUAUACUUUUUGUGGACUGUCUGGAUAUAAGUAAAUAAUCCUUGGGUCUCGCCUAAGGAAAGUCACAUAAUUUUCUUUUCUUUCUCUAGAGAACUUCUCAAUCUACCUGACCUCUUUCCAGAACAUUUGGUAUCCUGACUGCUAUCUUGCUAGACUUAUUUUCAUGCCCAUUUCAUAAAUAAAUCAAACCCACUAUGACUAAAAUGGAACUUAAACUACUCCCAACAAAAGCAUACUUCUAUAAUAUCCUAUAAUUUUACUGUCACUCUUUUUUUGUUUUGGUCUUUCUGAGGCAGGGUUGCACUAUAUAAUUCAGGCUGGCCUUGAACUGUUUUGUAGCACAGGCUGGUAGCCAUCCUCCUGCCUCAGCCUUACACAUGCUAGGAUUACUGGCAUGCAACCACAAUACUUGGCUUCACUUUCACUAUCAUCUCUUCCCUCAAAUCCAAUCUAAAUACAGUAGCCAGAGAUCUUUUAAAAUAAAAACCAGAUCUAUCACCCCUUGGCUUAAAACCCACCAAUAUCUUCCAUUUGCACUUAGAAUAAAAUCCAAACUUCUAAUCAUUGGGGCUGGCGAUUUAGCUCAGCAGCAUAAGUGCCUGCCUUGCAAGCAGACAGUCGUGAGUUCGAUCCCCGGUACCGAUAAAAACAAGCGAACAAACUUCUAAUCAUAUCCUACGAAGGCCAUACAAUCAAGCACUAUUUAUAUGUACAAAUGUCAAGUCAACUGUUCAUGAUCUUUUAUUCACUUUGCUUUUUCAAGUUCUCAUCUUAGGAUGUUUGUACCAUUCUUUCGGCCUAUUUUGUCCUUUCCUUAGUUAUCACACUUUUGUUUGUCAUUAUGGAGAUCUCAAAACGCCUGGCUCGACCACCAACUUAAAAGUUGCUCCUAAUCAUCUCCUAAUCAUUUAUUCUAAUUCAUCUCUAUCACUAUUAAAAUUAUUUGCUUUUCAUCUUUAUGGAUUAAUGUAUGCAACUUGAAUACUGCAAAAAUAAACUUUGUUCCUUAUAA